rnacentral:rRNA from 1 species
GACGAACACUGGCGGCGUGCUUAACACAUGCAAGUCGAACGGAAAGGCCCUGCUUUUGUGGGGUGCUCGAGUGGCGAACGGGUGAGUAACACGUGAGUAACCUGCCCUUGACUUUGGGAUAACUUCAGGAAACUGGGGCUAAUACCGGAUAGGAGCCCCUGCUGCAUGGUGGGGGUUGGAAAGUUUCGGCGGUUGCGGAUGGACUCGCGGCUUAUCAGCUUGUUGGUGGGGUAGUGGCUUACCAAGGCUUUGACGGGUAGCCGGCCUGAGAGGGUGACCGGCCACAUUGGGACUGAGAUACGGCCCAGACUCCUACGGGAGGCAGCAGUGGGGAAUAUUGCACAAUGGGCGGAAGCCUGAUGCAGCAACGCCGCGUGCGGGAUGACGGCCUUCGGGUUGUAAACCGCUUUCGCCUGUGACGAAGCGUGAGUGACGGUAAUGGGUAAAGAAGCACCGGCUAACUACGU